AACGAACGCUGGCGGCAGGCCUAACACAUGCAAGUCGAACGCUCCGCAAGGGGAGUGGCGCACGGGUGAGUAACACGUGGGAACCUACCUUCUGGUACGGAACAACCAAGGGAAACUUUGGCUAAGACCGUAUACGACCUCCGGGUGAAAGAUUGAUCGCCGGAAGAGGGGCCCGCGUCCGAUUAGGUAGUUGGUGAGGUAACGGCUCACCAAGCCUUCGAUCGGUAGCUGGUCUGAGAGGAUGACCAGCCACACUGGGACUGAGACACGGCCCAGACUCCUACGGGAGGCAGCAGUGGGGAAUAUUGGACAAUGGGCGCAAGCCUGAUCCAGCCAUGCCGCGUGAGUGAUGAAGGCCUUUGGGUUGUAAAGCUCUUUCACCCACGACGAUGAUGACGGUAGUGGGAGAAGAAGCCCCGGCUAACUUCGUGCCAGCCGCCGCAGUAAC
rnacentral:rRNA from 1 species